rnacentral:rRNA from 1 species
UACGUAGGGUGCAAGCGUUGUCCGGAAUUAUUGGGCGUAAAGAGCUCGUAGGCGGCCGUUCGCGUCGGAUGUGAAAGCUCAGGGCUCAACCCUGAGACGCCAUUCGAUACGGGACGGCUAGAGGUAGGUAGGGGAAAGUGGAAUUCCUGGUGUAGCGGUGAAAUGCGCAGAUAUCAGGAGGAACACCGAUUGCGAAGGCAGCUCGCUGGAACGUUACUGACGCUGAGACGCGAAAGCGUGGGGAGCAAACAGG